AAAAAGACCGUCGGUUCAGAGAGCUGCGUACCUCUCCACUGGAGGAACAACACUAAGCCCAUUUAUUCUAACGCGUUGCCUCAGAAGAACUAAAGAGACAGGAAUUUGAGCAAAACCUGGGCAACAGGAAGAAAUGACCACUUCCAUGAUGAGCCUUCUGAGGACGCUCUUGUUUCUGCCAUUGCACUGUGGGUGCUCACUUCCAUUGCUGAGGUUGCAGCUUCCAAACGUCCCCCUGUGUGUGUUCACUUGUGAGGUUUCUAUCCAAAAUGUCGCUGGCUUUUUUUCCUCUUACAUCCUUCACAAAACUAGCUCUCAGUUUCCAGGUGGAGCCUGUCAUCAUUAAUCUAUUCAUACUUUGCACAGCCUUUGAUUUUUUUGCAUCCUCAGUCUUGCCCCAGUGAUAAAUCAGAGUAGCCGUCACUGUAGUGGAAAGCUCAGUAAUGUCAAAAACUUCCUGGUGUAUAUGCAACGGGAAGUCAUUCAGCAGUAAGUAAAUAACCCUUGCGAGCCACACUGUUACAAAAGGUUACUUCUACUCUCCCCUUAAGCAGGGGGAGCUAAUACCUUGAUCCAUACUACCAAAGACCACAGUAGACUACCAUGGGAAAGAGAAUUUCCCACCUUCCAACUCAGUUGCUUCUUGUGAUGAAUGCAUUUAUGAGCUGCAGAGUAAAAUGUAGUUAAAAUUAUAGCUAGUUUCACUUUGUGAGUUUGCAAACGACAAUGUAGGGAAGCCUGUGAGAGCCACAGAUUCCAGGAUUUCCGGCCUGUAUUAAUGUCCUAGCAAAAUUUGCAGUAUUUUUUCAGGUUUCUGUUUUAGUGGAAUCUGAAGUCUCCUAUAGAUCCUUGCUUUUUUAAAAUUUUUUAAUAUUGUCAUUAUAAAUGACCAUCAUCCUGACUUAAGAUAGUUAUUAGAAGCAUGUAAGGCGAGGGGAUUUUUUGCUGUUCCAAAGGGAAAGGAAAAACACAGCCUCCACCACAAAUCCCAGAAUGUCAUCCCUUCAAGGGAUAUCUGAGGGGUGUUCUUGCUGGUUAUUCUGUAGCACCUUUUAUCUGUGCAUCUGCAAUAGGUGGAAAGGACCAGAGAGAGAGAAGGUGGUGAGGAUGCACUGACACAGCCUGAAGAAGUCCUGAGGAAAGCACAAAGAGGAGUACAGGCUGAGAUGUGCUUGAAGCUGUAACCAAAAAACCUGUCCUUUUUUUUUUCCUGCUGUACUCAGGACUUUCUGGUAGAUGAGGAGAAGUAUACUGAAGAAAUAGCUGAAGGCUAUAUAAAGGAGAGCUGGAA